CAGCAGGUCCUAUUUAGGACCACAAAGGAAACACAAAAAAAGAAAG
rfam:Heterocephalus glaber contig26623, whole genome shotgun sequence.